UGAGAUGAUCAUGUGUUUCCCCCCCUCCAUUCUAUUAAUGUGGGGUAUUAUGUUGACUGAUUUUUUUCCCCAUGUUGAACAGCCUUGCAUUCCCGGGAUAAAUCCCAUUUAGUCAUGUGUCGCAGGUGAGUGGGAGAGACGCUGGUCCUUGUCUCACCGAGUUGAGCAAUGGAUCUCGCAGACACGAGAGUGAGCAAAGAGACAGAGUAUACUGAGCCAAGUACAACGCUCUCAAGGGAUCCCUCGCUGCCACUGGGGACCAAGGACAGUGACAGUUCUGGCUUCUUCAAGCUGAAGAGGGACGGCGGAAGGGUAUGGCACUCAGAGUCUACCAAGGGUCGGUCGAGUGGUCCCCGGUUAUGGCUCCACAGGAAGGCUGGCAGGCAUGAGGCGGCACAGACAUCGGCAGCCACAAAGAGAAAACCACCAAUGACUGUGCUGACCAACAAGAUGGCGCCCGUAAGAUCCUGCCCCCAAUUUCCAAACCACUCUUCCUUUUUCUCAUGUUCAACUGUUGGACAUUUGCCGUGAUUGUUGUUGAAACUGAACUAAAGAAGUAAAUGUUUAACUUGGGCAUUUAUCUCAGGAUCCAAUAAAAAGUCAUCUGUCAGGGGCGCCGGGGUGGCUCAGUCAGUUGAG